UACGGAACAAGCUAAGAGGGAAUCAGGUGAAAAGCCUGAGCGGUCCCGCCACUGUGAGCAAUGAGUCGAAUUUCGUGACUGUGUCAUCCACUAUGAGAAUGGGAAGGAGAAAUGAGACGAUGAUGUGCAAGCCAGAAGACCUGCAUAAAAUUAU
rnacentral:ncRNA from 1 species